rnacentral:rRNA from 1 species
UACGUAGGGGGCAAGCGUUAUCCGGAUUUACUGGGUGUAAAGGGAGCGUAGACGGCUUUGCAAGCCAGAUGUGAAAGCCCGGGGCUCAACCCCGGGACUGCAUUUGGAACUGCAUGGCUGGAGUACAGGAGGGGCAGGCGGAAUUCCUAGUGUAGCGGUGAAAUGCGUAGAUAUUAGGAGGAACACCGGUGGCGAAGGCGGCCUGCUGGACUGUGACUGACGUUGAGGCCCGAAGGCGUGGGGAGCAAACAGG